rnacentral:rRNA from 1 species
GGCCUAACACAUGCAAGUCGAACGAGAUCCUUCGGGGUCUAGUGGCGCACGGGUGCGUAACGCGUGGGAAUCUACCCUUGGGUUCGGAAUAACAGCGGGAAACUGCUGCUAAUACCGGAUGAUGACGAAAGUCCAAAGAUUUAUCGCCCAGGGAUGAGCCCGCGUAGGAUUAGCUAGUUGGUGAGGUAAAGGCUCACCAAGGCUACGAUCCUUAGCUGGUCUGAGAGGAUGAUCAGCCACACUGGGACUGAGACACGGCCCAGACUCCUACGGGAGGCAGCAGUAGGGAAUAUUGGACAAUGGGGGCAACCCUGAUCCAGCAAUGCCGCGUGAGUGAUGAAGGCCUUAGGGUUGUAAAGCUCUUUUACCCGAGAUGAUAAUGACAGUAUCGGGAGAAUAAGCUCCGGCUAACUCCGUGCCAGCAGCCGCGGUAAUACGGAGGGAGCUAGC